GCAAAACGCGAAGAACCUUACCAGGUCUUGACAUCCCGGUGACCACUAUGGAGACAUAGUUUCCCCUUCGGGGGCAACGGUGACAGGUGGUGCAUGGUUGUCGUCAGCUCGUGUCGUGAGAUGUUGGGUUAAGUCCCGCAACGAGCGCAACCCUUAUUCUUAGUUGCCAUCAUUUAGUUGGGCACUCUAAGGAGACUGCCGGUGAUAAACCGGAGGAAGGUGGGGAUGACGUCAAAUCAUCAUGCCCCUUAUGACCUGGGCUACACACGUGCUACAAUGGACGGUACAAACGGUUGCCAACCCGCGAGGGGGAGCUAAUCCGAUAAAACCGUUCUCAGUUCGGAUUGUAGGCUGCAACUCGCCUACAUGAAGCCGGAAUCGCUAGUAAUCGCGGAUCAGCAUGCCGCGGUGAAUACGUUCCCGGGUCUUGUACACACCG
rnacentral:rRNA from 1 species